rnacentral:rRNA from 1 species
GACGAACGCUGGCGGCGUGCUUAACACAUGCAAGUUGAACGAGAAUUUUUCGAGUGAUUUCUUCGGAAUGAUCAUGAAAAAGGAAAGUAGCGAACGGGUGAGUAACACGUGAGAAACCUGCCUUUCACAAAGGGAUAGCCUCGGGAAACCGGGAUUAAUACCUUAUGAAACCAAACACUCGCAUGAGAGAUUGGUUAAAGAUUUAUCGGUGUUAGAUGGUCUCGCGUCUGAUUAGCUAGUUGGUGGGAUAAAAGCCUACCAAGGCAACGAUCAGUAUCCGGAUUGAGAGGUUGAACGGCCACACUGGAACUGAGACACGGUCCAGACUCCUACGGGGGGCAGCAGUGGGGAAUUUUGCACAAUGGAGGAAACUCUGAUGCAGCGACGCCGCGUGAGUGAUGAAGGUCUUCGGAUUGUAAAACUCUGUCCUGAGUGAAGAUAAUGACAGUAGCUAAGAAGCAAGCCCUGGCUAAAUACGUG